AAGAAGCAGCUCGAGCUUACGAUGAAGCCGCGAAGCGCAUCCGUGGAGACAAAGCCAAGCUCAACUUCCCUCGAGCUCCAGCUGAAGCUGCAACCCCAACUCAGCCUCCUGCUAAGAAAAGGUGCAUCUCUCCUGAGUCGACUCAGGCGAGUUUUGAGACCACUGGCUCACCACCCCCACGAACGCCCCAACCCUAUAUGGGUUUUGGGUAUGAAAAUGAAGUUUAUAGGCCGUGUGGAGCACUGCAGAGUGAGUUGGAGCUGAAAGAGCAAAUCUCGAGCCUGGAAUCAUUCCUGGGUUUGGAGCCUGAUGAGACUACUAUUCAGCUGAGUGGAAACGGUGAGCCUGACUCAGUGGACCUUUGGAUGCUUGAUGACCUCGUGACACAUCAUCAGCAACAGCGCCAGCUUGCUUAUUAGAGGAAAAACAAAACAAACUACUAAUAAAUCAUGUUUAUGUGUUAAUUAGGGGUUUUUAAGUACUUAUCC
rnacentral:lncRNA from 1 species